rnacentral:rRNA from 1 species
GAUCCUGGCUCAGGACGAACGCUGGCGGCGUGCUUAACACAUGCAAGUCGAACGAGAAUCUGCGGAAAGAGGAUUCGUCCAAUUGAAGCAGAGGACAGUGGCGGACGGGUGAGUAACGCGUGAGGAACCUGCCUUUCAGAGGGGGACAACAGUUGGAAACGACUGCUAAUACCGCAUGACACAUCGGAGUCGCAUGGCUCUGAUGUCAAAGAUUUAUCGCUGAAAGA